CCGAUGGCGACCGGCGCACGGGUGAGUAACGCGUAUCCAACCUGCCCUUCACCACGGGAUAACCCGGCGAAAGUCGGACUAAUACCGUAUGUUGUCCAUUGACGGCAUCCGAUUUGGACGAAAGGCUUGGCGGUGAGGGAUGGGGAUGCGUCCGAUUAGCCAGACGGCGGGGUAACGGCCCACCGUGGCGACGAUCGGUAGGGGUUCUGAGAGGAAGGUCCCACACACUGGAACUGAGACACGGUCCAGACUCCUACGGGAGGCAGCAGUGAGGAAUAUUGGUCAAUGGGCGUAAGCCUGAACCAGCCAAGUAGCGUGCAGGACGACGGCCCUAUGGGUUGUAAACUGCUUUUAUGCGGGGAUAAAGUGGCCCACGUGUGGGUUUUUGCAGGUACCGCAUGAAUAAGGACCGGCUAAUUCCGUGCCAGCAGCCGCGGUAAUACGGAAGGUCCGGGCGUUAUCCGGAUUUAUUGGGUUUAAAGGGAGCGUAGGCCGCGCCUUAAGCGUGUUGUGAAAUCCGGGUGCUCAACAUCCGGCUUGCAGCGCGAACUGGGGCGCUUGAGUGCGCAGAAAGUAGGCGGAAUUCGUGGUGUAGCGGUGAAAUGCUUAGAUAUCACGAGGAACUCCGAUUGCGAAGGCAGCCUACUGUAGCGCUACUGACGCUGAUGCUCGAAAGCGUGGGUAUCGAACAGGAUUAGAUACCCUGGUAGUCCACGCGGUAAACGAUGGAUGCUCGUUGUCGGCCCUUUGGGUCGGUGACCAAGCGAAAGCGUUAAGCAUCCCACCUGGGGAGUACGCCGGCAACGGUGAAACUCAAAGGAAUUGACGGA
rnacentral:rRNA from 1 species